AUUGAACGCUGGCGGCAGGCCUAACACAUGCAAGUCGAGCGGAUGAAGGGAGCUUGCUCCUGGAUCCAGCGGCGGACGGGUGAGUAAUGCCUAGGAAUCUGCCUCGUUGUGGGUUAUAACGUCUGGAAACGGGCGCUAAUACCGCAUACGUCCUGAGGGAGAAAGUGGGGGAUCUUCGGACCUCACGCUAUCAGAUGAGCCUAGGUCGGAUUAGCUAGUUGGUUGGUUAAAGGCCUACCAAGGCGACGAUCCGUAACUGGUCUGAGAGGAUGAUCAGUCACACUGGAACUGAGACACGGUCCAGACUCCUACGGGAGGCAGCAGUGGGGAAUAUUGGACAAUGGGCGAAAGCCUGAUCCAGCCAUGCCGCGUGUGUGAAGAAGGUCUUCGGAUUGUAAAGCACUUUAAGUUGGGAGGAAGGGCAGUAAGUUAAUACCUUGCUGUUUUGACGUUACCAACAGAAUAAGCACCGGCUAACUUCGUG
rnacentral:rRNA from 1 species